CGCUGGCGGCGUGCUUAACACAUGCAAGUCGAACGGGGAUUAAGUGGAAAGGCUUCGGCCCGGAAGACUUAAUCGAGUGGCGGACGGGUGAGUAACGCGUGAGCAACCUGUCCCAGACAGGGGGAUAACACUUGGAAACAGGUGCUAAUACCGCAUAAGACCACGGGGUCACAUGGCUCUGGGGGUAAAAGGAGCAAUCCGGUUUGGGGUGGGCUCGCGUCCGAUUAGAUAGUUGGUGAGGUAACGGCCCACCAAGUCGACGAUCGGUAGCCGACCUGAGAGGGUGAUCGGCCACAUUGGAACUGAGAGACGGUCCAAACUCCUACGGGAGGCAGCAGUGGGGAAUAUUGGGCAAUGGGCGAAAGCCCUGACCCAGCAACGCCGCGUGAGUGAAGAAGGCCUUCGGGUUGUAAAGCUCUGUUAUAGGGGACGAAGGAAGUGACGGUACCCUAUAAGGAAGCCCCGGCUAACUACGUGCCAGCAGCGGC
rnacentral:rRNA from 1 species